GUUUUCUGGCUUGGAAAGGUUGAAGGAGCAAUGACAGGUGUCCUGGGGCUCGAAUGACUGGCCGAGGCGGCAGAAGCUGGCCCGGUCGCUGUAGACUCUUGGACGCAGUAGCAGCGCUCGCUCAGCCUCUUCUGCCUCCCCCACGUCCACACAGAGAGAAAUCCAACCCUUGGCUGAGGCCUGAAAGAAGACCUGCAUUCACGCCGUGGAGGGGAGUGCUGCUCAGCUGUCAAAAGAACAAGCCCGGCAGAGGCAGGGUCAGAAGGUCCUUUCCUCUCCCUCCACCCUUUUGUUUCCGUUUCCUCUCCUCUUCUCCCUCUCCUUCCUCCAUGCCUUCUGUUUGUUUGUUUAUUUGUUUAUCUUUUGCUCUGUGUGUUUUGAGACAGGCUCUCCCUUUGUAGCCUAUGCACACCUGGAACUCCCUGUGUAGUCCAUGGAAACGCUUCUGAUUCGGCCUCCUAAAUUCUUGGGAAGAUGGACUGCUGGGGUGGGGCACUUGCUGCUAAGCCUGAAGACCUGAAAUCACUCUCCGGAACUCACGUGGUAGGAGAGAGAGAACCAACUCCUGAAAGUUGUCCUCUGACCGCCACAUGUAAUGGGGACACAGGCAACUUGUCUAGUAGGCCUAUGUAUACAGCUGAGUGUUUGGACCAAUCAUGGCCAUUUGUUUGGGCCAAACCCCCGUCUUGCCAAUUUUUUUUUUUUUUUUUUUUUUNNNNNNNNNNNNNNNNNUUUUUUUUGAGACAGGGUUUCUCUGUGUAGCCCUGGCUGUCCUGGAACUCAUUUUGUAGACCAGGCUGGUCUCGAACUCAGAAAUCCGCCUGCCUCUGCAUUCUGAGUGCUGGGAUUAAAGGCGUGUGCCACUACACCCGGCUCCAUCUUGCCUCUUGGCAUCAUGAAAUUCCUCUAGUAAGCCACCAGGGGGAGUGUUCCACCCCUGUCGCAGGUGGAAAUGGUUGUAGGGUCAUCUAGAGAUCAUCAAGGCUUGGUAUAGUGAAAAUUCUGAUACCUCCGGGAGCUUAGGCAAUUGGCUGCAGUCUUUGUGUAGUUACCUCUGUCAGUGUUCUAGAUUGCUGAUUCUGACACAGGAUGAUCUGAUGGCUGUGAGAUUUUUGCUCCAGGGAGUCAGGGAGAGCUGAUGUAGUCAUGCAAACUGUCCCAAGCCUAAUGUCUUUGCUAAGUAACAGGAAAAUGGUCACUGGUAGGAGUGUUCACAUAUACACACAUAGAACUUAUUAACAAUAAGAGUGAUUUUAAAAAAUGAUUUACGUAUUUAUGUUAUAUAUCUAUGAGCACACCAUUGCUGUCUUCAGACACACCAGAAGCGGGCAUCACAUCCCAUUACCAAUGGUUGUGAGCCACCAUGUGGUUGCUGGGAAUUGAACUCAUGACCCCAGUUAAGUGCUCUUAACUGCUGAGCUCUCUCUCCAGCCCACUAAGGAUGAUUUUUAAAACAGAUUGAAGAGAGUUCACCACCUGCUCAAUGCCCCAGAGAGUGCUGAGUGCUCCUUAUACGUGCCAGUAGGAAAUCAUCAAGACCUAUAGAAUAGCCGGGCGUGGUGGCGCACGCCUUUAAUCCCAGCACUCGGAGGCAGAGGCAGGCGGAUUUCUGAGUUCGAGGCCAGCCUGGUCUACAGAGUUCCAGGACAGCCAGAGCUAUACAGAGAAACUCUGUCUUG
ensembl:lincRNA Gm10687 predicted gene 10687